rnacentral:rRNA from 1 species
GACGAACUGUCCUAACGUUGUUCGGAAUCACUGGGCGUAAAGGGCGCGUAGGCGGCGUUUUUAAGUCGGGGGUGAAAGCCUGUGGCUCAACCACAGAAUGGCCUCGAUACUGGGACGCUUGAGUAUGGUAGAGGUUGGUGGAACUGCGAGUGUAGAGGUGAAAUUCGUAGAUAUUCGCAAGAACACCGGUGGCGAAGGCGGCCAACUGGACCAUUACUGACGCUGAGGCGCGAAAGC